AGCGGGCUCUGCGCUGACAGCAACAAGCCUGAUGGGGAGCUCGAACUCACAAUUGUGAGAUUAUGACCUGAGCCAAAGUCAGAUGCUCAACCAACUGAGCCACCCAGGAGCCCCAAAAAGGGUCAUGAUUCUUAAAGAAAGGUUUGAAAAUCCCAUGGAGAUGAUGUCAAGGAUUUAAAAAUCUGAAAGAUAUUACAAGACUCUAUGAGUAAGAAACAAGAACAAAAUACUGAGAGUGAUCAUUAGCACAACAUAUAAUGGAAGUUCCCACGUGAAGAAGAGGCAGGAGGGGAGAUCUGAGACCUCUUACAGAGAGCAGCUGAGAUGUGUGUGGGCAGGAUAUCCCAAGGACUUGGCUUGCUGGGGUCAAAGGAGAGCGGCAAAUGUCUUGCUCGGUACUAUAAAAUGAAUUACUAAAACGAUUGUUCACCAAUUCACAAUGUCGACAGCAACUCAGUGAUGUAAUUUCUCCAGUUGACCUGAACAAGACCCGUGGCUUCUUAAAACUCUAGCAGGUAACAGAAUUUGAGGAGUGGGACGCUGCCAGAAUUUGAGGAGUAAUUAAGAUUAUCAGUGAUGGAUACAUUGACUGUUGGGACUGUGCUCUCCAUAUUUUGAGGAAAAGGAUCCUACUUAGGAUACCAUGUUACAUUUAGUCAUCCUGUCUUCUUAGGCCCCUCUCCACUGUGAUGCUUCCUCAGACUUUUCUGGUUUUUGAUGACCUGGACCAUUGUGAGGAGUGCUGGGGCUGAGUGUAUCCUUUGGACAUUAGAGGCCAAUGACAGAAUUGACAAGGUACCUGAGACAAAUUG